rnacentral:rRNA from 1 species
CUACGUGCCAGCAGCCGCGGUAAUACGGAAGGUCCAGGCGUUAUCCGGAUUUAUUGGGUUUAAAGGGAGCGUAGGCGGAUUGUUAGGUCAGCGGUUAAAGGGUGUGGCUCAACCAUGCAUUGCCGUUGAAACUGGCGAUCUUGAGUGCAGACAGGGAUGCCGGAAUUCGUGGUGUAGCGGUGAAAUGCUUAGAUAUCACGAAGAACUCCGAUCGCGAAGGCAGGUGUCCGGGCUGCAACUGACGCUGAGGCUCGAAAGUGUGGGUAUCAAACAGGAUUAGAUACCCUGGUAGUCCACACAGUAAACGAUGUAUACUCGCGGUUUGCGAUAGACAGUAAGCCGCCAAGCGAAAGCAUUAAGUAUACCACCUGGGGAGUACGCCGGCAACGGUGAAACUCAAAGGAAUUGACGGGGGCCCGCACAAGCGGAGGAACAUGUGGUUUAAUUCGAUGAUACGCGAGGAACCUUACCCGGGAU